CCCGUUUAUUUUCAUCCUCACAUAAGUUAGGUUAUGCCUGUUUGGUUUUAGGUUGGGGUGACCACGGAGUAUAAAACAACCUCCAUGAAAAAAGGACCAAAAAUCCUUAUUAGAGAAAGACAUUUCUAAAAUUAAUAAAUUAAUUUUUAAUGAUCCGAUAUUCGAUCAACGAACCAAGUUACCCUGGGGAUAACAGCGCAAUCCACUUCAAGAGCUCCUAUCGACAAGUGGGUUUACGACCUCGAUGUUGGAUCAGGGUAUCCUAGUGGUGCAGCAGCUACUAACGGUUCGUUUGUUCAACGAUUAAAACCCU
rnacentral:rRNA from 1 species